rnacentral:lncRNA from 1 species
CGCCCCGCCCGCCCUGCCUCUCUCUGAUGAAAUGUCGGUAAUUCAAUCUGCGGCGAAGCUCCGUGCCCCCGGGGAAGCUGGCAGCGCCUCGGAAGGCCAGCUGAAGGGAGGGAGUGUGUCUGUGCGUGUGUGAGAGUGUGUGUGAGUGUGUGUGUGUCUCUGCGUAUGUCUGUGUCUGUUUGUGUGUGUGUGUAUGUCUGUGCGUGUACCAGCCUGCUGGGGAGAUGGGAGGGAACAUGUUUCCAGGAACAAUGUCAAUAGCUCCCUUUUUCUAUUGUGAUUUCAAUACACAUCCCCAUUUUGUGGAGGUGCAAACUGAGGCUGAGAAGAUCAGAAAGCACAGCCAGCAUCUCUCAGAGGAAAAGGAUGAUCCCCGUUUUUAUCUUUGUACUCCCAACACAGCCUGAGGAGGUGCAUGCUUAAUAAAGGUCCGUGGUCUAGAUGUCUGUCUUCCCUGUCACAUGCUACUCUGUAUCAUAUUUAUAUGUGCACAUAUGUAUUCCUUAGUAGAAGGAAUGAUCAGCAGGAUGGUUUCAGAAAAUCCUGAAGUACUUACAUGAACUGAUGCUGAGUGAAAAGAGCAGAACCAAGAGAAUAUUAUACAUGGCAACAAGAUUGUACAAUGAUCAAUUCUGAUGGACGUGGCCCUCUUCAACAAUGAGAUAAUUCAGGACAGUUCCAAUGGUUUAGUGAUGAAGAGAGCCAUCUGCACCCAGAGAGAGGCCUGUGGAAACUGAAUGUGGAUCACAAUAUAGCAUUCUCACUAUCUCUGUUGUUGCUUGCUUGCACUUUAUUCUUCUUCCUUUUUUUUUUUUUUUUUUCCACUGGUUGAUCUGAUUUUUCUUGUGCAGCACAAUAAUUAUAUAAAUAUGUAUGCAUAUAUUGGAUUUAACAUAUAUUUUAUCAUGUUUAACAUAUACUGGACUACUUGCUACCUAGGGGAAGGCACAGGAAAAGAGGGG